AUUGAACGCUGGCGGCAUGCUUUACACAUGCAAGUCGAACGGCAGCGCGGGCUUCGGCCUGGCGGCGAGUGGCGAACGGGUGAGUAAUGCAUCGGAACGUGCCCAGUGGUGGGGGAUAGCCCGGCGAAAGCCGGAUUAAUACCGCAUACGACCUGAGGGUGAAAGCGGGGGACCGAAAGGCCUCGCGCUAUUGGAGCGGCCGAUGUCGGAUUAGCUAGUUGGUGGGGUAAAGGCUUACCAAGGCGACGAUCCGUAGCUGGUCUGAGAGGACGACCAGCCACACUGGGACUGAGACACGGCCCAGACUCCUACGGGAGGCAGCAGUGGGGAAUUUUGGACAAUGGGGGCAACCCUGAUCCAACCAUGCCGCGUGCGGGAAGAAGGCCUUCGGGUUGUAAACCGCUUUUGUUCGGGAAGAAAUCCUCUGGGCUAAUACCCCGGGGGGAUGACGGUACCGGAAGAAUAAGCACCGGCUAACUACGUG
rnacentral:rRNA from 1 species